AUAAUAAUAUAUAAAUUGUAAAAAAGUAAAAAAUAUUCAAUUUAAUUUAUAUACAAAAGAAAAUACCGCGCUUUUUUCUCGUAUACUACGCAAAUAAAAUAAAAAAAGAGGAAACACCACUGCAAUCAAUAAAAUACGCAAAACUUCAGGAAGCAAACACAAAUUACGAAAUAAACGUCGGUAAACGUGUAAAAUAUAAGCAGUGUAUAUAUACGGGGCAUUGAAAACAGAGGAAAAUCGCAACAAAUAAAAAUUGUGUAGAAAAUUAUAGUGCUGCGUGAAAGCAAGAAAGGCAGCGAAAUAUUCAUAAAAGCAAUAAAAGUUUAAAAAUCUCAAGAAAAAAUACGCAGAAAAUACGCACGAACGCACGAAAUAAAAAAUUAAACGACGAGCGAGUUGGAAAAAGAUAAUAAAAAGCGAAUGCGAAGCAAAAAUCAGAGUACAAAAAACCAAAAAAUAAUUUAAAAAUAAUCAGCAAUUAAUUUGUUGCUAAGCGCGCAGUAAAUGUAAAAGCUGUAAAUAUUGCAAAAAGCAAUAAAAAGGUAAAUGUUGAUAAAGUAAUGAGAAAGUAACACAAAAGCGAUUUAACGAAAUUGAGUUAUAUAACAAAAAAUUUUGGUUAUAAUAUAAAAAAUUAUAUUAGAGCGCUGUCCUAAGCAGAGUUGUUAGUGUAAAAAGUCACUAAAAAUUAAUUUCGAAAUUAAAAAAUAUUUUUUAUAUUUAAUAUAAACAAAAUUCAAUAAAAAAAGGUGAAAUUAAUUGGGACAGCAAAUAUUUAUUACAAAAAAAAAUUAAAAAUAAAAAAAUAUAAAUUAAUAAUAAAUAAAAAUAAACAAAUAAAAAUUAUAAUAAAAUCUAAAAAGUGAAAAAAAAAACAAAUAAUAAAUAGAAAACAAAAAAAUAACACAUAAAAAUAAAAAUAAUAAUAAAUAAAAAAACCUAAUAAAACCUGAAAAAGUGAGGAAAAAAUAAUAAAAAAAAACCUACAAUAAAUUUCAAAGAAGUGAAAGUGCUAGAAACACCUAGAAACACACACAAAAUAUUUUCCAAAUAAAACGUCAAAGUAAACUACUAGGUGGGCGGUAAAUUUCACGCCACAUAAAAAUUAAAUCGCACAUCAAGUGCUCGUAAAAGUGUGCCACAAAUAAAGCGCUCUACACGAGAACAAACCCAAGACAGUGGAAAUAAUUUAGCAAUACUUCGUAAUACCACCAAAAUCAAGCAUUUUACGAAGCGCAUACCCACCCACUAGUUUAUUGUGCUAACAAACCAUCGCGCUCCUGAUGCCAAAGCGAAGUUAAGCGAGCUCUUCAAAGCUAUAAAAUCGAAAACUAACACUACGCAUUUAAAGCGCACACAAAGCUGGAAAGCAGCGCCUACGCAUUACCCCCAAAGCUGGUCGCAAAUCUACUUCGUUUACUUCCCGCACACCAACGCAAGCAUACUUUAUUUUAGGUCUAUCGAGUGUGACUGUAUCUUACUGUGUCUCAUACUUGCCGACAGCUCCGUCAUUGUUCACCCCAACUACAUUAACGAGCACAAAGCAGCGCCGCUGAAGUCCCUACAAACCGCCCAAGCGUUUAACCAAUCAAGCCAACCGUUUAGUGCCUCCAAACAAAAAACAUAAAUAAAGUAAAUGAACACAGUUAACUAACUGUUUGAUAGUGCAACAUCUUCGACACAGCUCUAAAUUAUUUCGACAAGCGCUCUGUCAGGCUGUCAACCUUAAAUUGAUUCGUCAAGCGCUCUGUCAGCGCCGCCAACACAUUUCGUCGCUUAUCGCCACCUAUAAUCCUACGUCGCAACGUCGAAAUUCUUUGAUUUUAUUUGAAAUUUUAUUGAAAUCUCAAAUUUCGUCUUCGAGCGUUACUUCGUUUAGUUUUUACGACGUCUAGAUCAUCUGCUGUUGCCAAUAAAACAAAAACAACAUUUAUGGAAAACAAAAGCAACUUAGAAAUUGCAUUCAAUAACGGGAAUAUUUUUAUAAAAAGGUAAGCAUAUUCACUGUUGAAAUAAUGUUGCGGCCGUAAGUAAAAAAUUAUUGUAAAUCAAAAAUGUAGUAAAAAAUAGUUUAAUUAAAUUUAAUUUUUUAUGUGUGCUCUGAACAGGCUAUAUUUAAUUUUAUACACCCAGCAGGAAAAGUCAGCGACCUUUGAAGUAUAUAUAGUAUAUAAGAGAUCAGUCUGCCUGCAGAAACACGAAGUAAUUCCUCUAUUUUUAAGAUAUAAAUAUGAAAAUUUGCAAACAAUUUUUUCUUUCCAAGAAGCUCCUCAUUUGCCAGAACCACAAAUAUCGGCACACUAUGUCAUGCAGCUCUCAUACAAACUGAUCUACCGAAAUUCAUACCUUGUAGGGAACACUUUUUUAUUUCGCCAGAUAUCCCCACGAAAUUUGGCAUGGAUUAUUUUCCAAGGUAUUGCUACAAUCACUGUAGAAAUUGUUCUGAUCGAACCACUAUAGCAUAUAGCUGCCAUACAAGCUGAACGAUCAAAAUCAAGUCCUUGUGUGGAAUACUUUUUUAUUUGUUGAGAUAUCUUCACGAAAUUUGGCAUGGAUUAUUGUCCAAAUCAUUGCUACAAUAUGCAAAGAAAUUAUUCCGUUCGGACCGCUAUAGCAUAUAGCUGCCAUACAAAAUGAAGGAUCAAAAGCAAGACCUUGUGGAGAAAACCGUUUUAUUAGCCGAAAUAUAUUCACCAAAUUUUGCACAGAUUAUAAUCUAAGGCAAUGCCAUAAUCUCUGCAAGAACUGUUCAUAUCAGGCCACUAUAGCAUAUAGCUGCCAUACAAACUGAACGAUCAAAAUUAAGUACUUGUAAGGAAAACUUUUCUAUUUGACAAGUUACCUACACGAAAUUUUGCACAGAUUACUUUCCAAGACAACGCUUCAAUCUCCCAACAAUUGGUUCCGAUCGGACUAAUAUUGCAUAUAGCUUUCCUUACAACUGCCCUACUUGAAUGUUGUUUUUGAAAAAAAAUUAAAACCACGCUUCUUAAAUUGCUUGAUAAUUAUAUUUUAAUGAGCUGCUCGUAAAUUAAAAAAUGUAUCAAAUGUUCUUUUAAGCAACAAUUAAAAAAA